rnacentral:tRNA from 1 species
GGGCCGCUAGCUCAUCUGGUAGAGCGCUGGCAUGGCAUGCUAGAGGUGAGGGGUUCGAUCCCCCUGCGGUCCACCA